GCGGUCCUCGGUGGCGUUCCUGGACGCCGACCCGGCGCCGAAGUUCUCACGAGACAGAAUUCCUUCCUUUUUCUUGUAUUCGCUUACUUAGAAAGCCAGAUGUCAUUUUUUUCAUUGAAAAGACAAAAUUGACAGAACCUAACGGGUCGUUUGGAGGGGUCGCGCUGAGGACGCUGCCCGAGCCCCAUCGCUCUACCUGAGGAGUAGUUUGAUUCUGUUUUCCACAUUUUCUCUCCCAGUCCCCCUUUUUCACUCCUCUCCUCGUUUUCCUUCCCCUAGAAGGUGGUGAGACCUAAAGGACCGAUUACCCUACCUUCUGGGCUCUUUGUCAAAAACUGGAGCCAAAGAAGGUUGAUUUUUGACAAACCCCCUGCUCAGUGCGGCACCUGUUUUCUCUGUAUUUAUAUUACUGAAGGCCCUUGGUACACUAUUAUGAAAAUUAAGAUGCCAUCUGGGGCAAUACUGCCUAGGCAGCACCGGAAGGUUUCAUUUAUCCGAUAGGCCUAAUUUCGUUUUAAAAUUCAUUUUUAAAAAAUAGUUUUUCCCUCAGCGAUCUCAGAUGUUUUGCUUUACUAUAUUUUUAAAAAGAAUUAUUAUGAUGAAAAAGUUAAUUUUAACAUUUUAGUUUUUUAGUUUUUUCUCUUCAAAAGAUUUUCACAAGAGGCAGAUUAUUGUGAAAGGGGGGGAGGGAAUGUUUGUUGGCAGUAUUUAAGGAAUAGACGGAGUCACAGAAGAACGGAUAUAUGCAAAAGUACCACCCUGCAAAAAGGGGGAAAAGGUGGAUUCCAUAGAUCACACACUGGAUCUUGGACACAACAGGCACGUACACGUGCCCAGUGUGAAUUUCAAGCUACCGGUCUGCUACGCAAACCAUGAUCGGCUAUGAGGGAGUCUGCGAUGUAACAGCUAUGCCAUCUGCUGGCCCCAUCCCACCAUUUAUUAAAUGAAUAUAUAUGAGGCUACUUCAAGUAAUUCAUGGAAAAUUCAAUUAAAGUACAAGUUUGUUCUGGUGCAAGUAAAAUUUAAAAUUU